rnacentral:rRNA from 1 species
GAUGAACGCUGGCGGCGUGCUUAACACAUGCAAGUCGAGCGAACAGACGAGGACCUUUCUCCUCUGACGUAAGCGGCUGAUGGCUGAGUAACAGGUGGAUGACCAACCUAUAAGUCUGGGAUAACGUAGGGAAACCGGACCUAUGACCGGGUAAGAUGAUGAACCGUAUGGUUCAACUGUUAAAGAAGGUCUUGCUGUAAAUUCUAGAGGUAUCAGCGCCGCAUUAGCUAGUUGGUAAGGUAACGGGUUACACAGGCAACGAUGCGUAGCCGACCUGACCGGGUGAUCGGCCACACUAGAACUGAGACACGGUCCAGACUCCUACGGGAGGCAGCAGUAGGGAAUCUUACGCAAUGGGGGAAAGCCUGACGGAGCAACGCCGCGUAAGUGAUGAAGGUCUUCGGAUCGUAAAACUCAGUUAUAAGGGAAGAACAAAUGUGUAAGUAACUAUGCACGUCGUGACGGUACCUAAUCAGAAAGCCACGGCUAACUACGUG